rnacentral:lncRNA from 10 species
AGAACUUCCGAGUCAUCAGGCAACGGUAAGCAAAAGGACAUGUCACAAGGCAGUACAGCCUAGGAGUCUAUUCUUGCAAUGAGUAUUUACUGAGCAUUUACUAUGUGCUUGGCACUGAUUCUAGAGAUCCCCAAGGGAUGAAGAAGUUGGGAAAGGAGCCAGAAGUUGGCCCUAAAGAAUUGGCCAGGCACGGUGGCUCACACCUGUAAUCCCAGCACUUUGGGAGGCCAAGGCGGGCGGAGCUUUGGAGGUCAGGCGUCUGAGACCAGUCUGAGCAACAUGGUGAACCCCUUCUCUACUAAAAAUACAAAAAUUAGCCGGGCAUGGUGGCGGGUGCCUAUAAUCCCAGCUACUCAGGAGGCUGAGGCAGGAGAAUCACUUGAACCCGGAGGCAGAGCCUGCAGUGAGCCAAGAUCGUGCCCCAGCACUCCAGCCUGGGCGACAGAGCGAGACGCUGUCUCAAAAAAAAAAAAACGGAGAAAAGAGCAAAACCAAAAAUCUCAUUCUCACCUUCACUCCAGGGAUCUCUUACCCUCAAAGCCUCCUUUUUAGCAACCACACUGAACUGUCCUCCUCGGCCUCCACCUCCUUCCCAUGAGCUUAUCUUUGCCACAGGAACCUGGCCUGCAUAAAUCCGGCAAAAGGGCUUCCAGCCCAAGUUCAAAUCUACUUACUCAGAGUGUUGUCUUAAGCAGUUACCAAACCUUUCUGAACCUGUUUCAUUGUCCAGUACCUCUCUCCUAAAGAUUAAAUUAGGUAACGCAGGCAACCAUUUAGCACAGUCCCUGGCACAUGGUGAGUGCUCAGAAAGCGAUAACGGUUACUGUAUUAUUCAGGUAAAGUUGGGAGAAGGAGCCGGGCUCCCCAAGGCUUCUGUGGUUUAGCCACUGGGCAAGGUCGGCCCCUGCCGGACUGGGGCAGGAAGUUCGGCAGUGCUGAAGCUAGUGGAGCCCAGGGUCAAAGAGCGCCUAACUUUUCCUGGAGGCUGUAAGGUGGCUCCGCGGUGCCACGCUGGGGCCUCAGGCGAGGGCGGGGAGGGCGUGCCGGGAGGAGGGCGCAGCCCGGGCUAGGUCUCCCGGCCUCCAGCUCCCGCUCCUCUGCAGACCUCAGGCCAGCCCCCGCCCCUCCCUCGGGACAGCGCCCCCGAAGCUGUCUCUAGAGGAUCCCGGGGUCGGAGGCAGGGUUCAAGGCAGCACUUAC